rnacentral:rRNA from 1 species
UACGUAGGGGGCUAGCGUUGUCCGGAAUCAUUGGGCGUAAAGCGCGUGUAGGCGGUCCGGUAAGUCCGCUGUGAAAGUCGGGGGCUCAACCCUCGGAUGCCGGUGGAUACUGUCGGGCUUGAGUACGGAAGAGGCGAGUGGAAUUCCUGGUGUAGCGGUGAAAUGCGCAGAUAUCAGGAGGAACACCAAUUGCGAAGGCAGCUCGCUGGGACGUUACUGACGCUGAGACGCGAAAGCGUGGGGAGCGAUCCGG